UACGUAGGGGGCAAGCGUUGUCCGGAUUUAUUGGGCGUAAAGCGCUCGCAGGUGGUCCGAUGCGUCGUGCGUGAAAGACCCUGGCUCAACUGGGGGGGCGUCGUGCGAUACGGUCGGACUGGAGGCCAGUAGGGGGAUGCGGAAUUCCGGGUGUAGUGGUGGAAUGCGUAGAGAUCCGGAGGAACACCAGCGGCGAAGGCGGCAUCCUGGACCGGCAUUGACGCUGAGGCGCGAAAGCUAGGGGAGCAAACGGG
rnacentral:rRNA from 1 species